GAGUAUCAGCUGGCCUUCAGUAAUGGACCUAAAGCUCUCCAUAGAGGACUGAGGGGCUUCAGAAAGCGACAAUGCUUUGGGUCAGCCUCUGGAAUCGGAUCCAAUGCCCUGGGUUGUGGUGCGAACAAAGGAUUCGCUUCGGGAAAGUCGUAUUCCUGGUCGCAAUGUUGCCUAUUUGAGGCUGUUGAGGAGAGGGCAGGACCACAUCAAUGGCCAAAGUGAAAUGGAGACAGUAGAUACAGCU